UACAGAGGUCUCAAGCGUUGUUCGGAUUCAUUGGGCGUAAAGGGUGCCGUAGGUGGCGUGGUAAGUCGGGUGUGAAAUUUCGGAGCUUAACUCCGAAACUGCAUUCGAUACUGCCGUGCUUGAGGACUGGAGAGGAGACUGGAAUUACGGUGUAGCAGUGAAAUGCGUAGAGAUCGUAAGGAAGACCAGUGGCGAAGGCGGGUCUCUGGACAGUUCCUGACGCUGAGGCACGGAGGUCAGGGGGAGCAAACGGG
rnacentral:rRNA from 1 species